rnacentral:rRNA from 1 species
UACGUAGGGGGGGAGCGUUGACCGGAAUUAUUGGGCGUAAAGAGCGUGUAGGCGGUUCGGUAAGUCUACUGUGAAAUCCUGGGGCUCAACCCUGGGCGUGCAGCGGUUACUGCCGGGCUAGAGGAUGGUAGAGGCGAGUGGAAUUCCGAGUGUAGCGGUGAAAUGCGCAGAUAUUCGGAGGAACACCAGUAGCGAAGGCGGCUCGCUGGGCCAUCCCUGACGCUGAGACGCGAAAGCGUGGGGAGCGAACAGG